rnacentral:lncRNA from 1 species
GUGGAAUGCAUGCAAAACAGGCCUUAUAUAAAAUCCGUUAUUUCAUCUGAUCCUAUCAAUAAUUUAAAAUUGUGUGAUUUUUUUUCUGAUUGACCUGGAGUCUAAGUCCAGCAACAAAGGAGACAGAUAACUCAAACAAAUAAAAAGAUCAAUGGAUACAAAUUGGGGUGGUUAUUAGGGGAGAAAAUGAUGGAGUGAGGGUCUGGUUUAGAUUGGGAUGGGGAUUAGCAAGAACUCUGGGAAGGUGACGUAGGAGCGGAGGUCUGAAGCGUGAGUGGGACUUAGCCAGGAGAAGAGGGGACGUGGAAUGUUCCAGGCAGGGCAGGCUGCCAAAUUUGAAAGGAGCUUGGUGGGUUUGAGGGGAUGAAGGGAAAAUUGGUACAGACGGCAGGGCAAGAACAGAAUCAGGGAGAUAAGUGAGGAGGAGAGUUUAGAAGUCUGCCUGAGAGAUGAUGGGGGCUUAGAUUUUGGCAAGAGAGAUGAGAAGAUGGGGUGGAGUUUGAGAGAAAUUUGGAGGACGGAACUGAAGCGAGGAAGGUGCUGUCCUGGCUGCGUGCACAGAUAUGUGGGCUCUGACCUGCCGUAGCAAAUUUCCUUUCUGUCGAUGGCUUACUUCUCACGUUCACUUCUCCAGGUGAGUACGACAGGUGGCAUCAGGGAGGAGUGCCCUGGGUCCUGACCACAGCUUUUGGGACCUGCUCACCAUCAUGCAGCAACUCUACAAUCUGCCGACUGAGGUCACUAUCUGUUUUAGCCGUCAGACCUCGGGGGACCACUGCCAAAUGAAACCAGCUAGAACCACAGCCCCCAAACCCAGGACAGUCUGUCCAUGUUCCCCAUUCAUUUCUAAAGAUCAGUG